GGGGAGAGGGGAGACAGGUAUGUGUACAGAUGUGGCCCGUACAGUGCAAGGUGGUAAGUAGAAUGGUGGAGAUGUGCUCAGUGUGAGAGAGGAGUGCACAGGAAGGGCUCCUUCUCCAGAGGAGUAAAGUCCUCCUGGAGAAGUCCAUGCUUGCAAGGAAAACUGGGGGAGAGGUCAUUCAGUGGAGAGGGGACGUGGGUAAUGCCUGGAGGUGAAAUAGAGUGCUGUCUGCCUGAGAAUCAAGAACUAUAGUUCGUGGGCACAGCAAGAGGUGGAGAAAGAUGAGGCUGGAGAAGUGAUGAGAGAUGAGUCUAGUCUUGUGCCAGCAAUUUAUUUUUGAAUAAUCCAAUUAUGAAAUCCUGCUUUGAGUGAAAGGAAGUAAAAACAAAAACAUUAAUAAAGGAACUAGCAUGCUCUUCUCAACAGUCCAAUACCUGAAUUUUAAGAAGCCAAAUUCAAUUAUCUAUAGAACACAGACAAGUGUAAUUUGCUUCAUUGUUUUUGCUCAUAAAAUUGAGCAGAGAACUGUUGACAUGUUUCUGUGGAAUAAUAGUGGGUCUUACUGAGAAACCAGCUCAGGUGACAUUCAAUGCUUUUGCAAGUGGGAAAUUGGCCCUUUCAGCUUUAGGAUUUUAUGAGUUUAUAUUUUGAAACUCUGAGGAGAGGUCUGGGUAGAUGGUUUUCUUUCUUUUCUCUCCCUUUGUCUUUUGUUCUUCCCUUCCCUUCCUCUCUCAUUCCUUUUUUCUUUCCUUCUUUUCUCCUUCUUACACUCCAUCUCUUUGAUUUCCAGUAUGUUGAAGGUUCUAAGCACCAGCCUCGCAAGGGAUGAAAAGGGAACAAAAGCAUACCUCUCUCCCCUGCCUGGAGGAUUAGCGCUAAAGUCCAUGGAAGAUUCUUUGGAUCACUAUGGCUCAUGAAUGAGUCUAAUGAUUAAGCAGAAAUUGCAGGCUUGUGAGCCAACAGCAACCACAUACACCUUUGGAGUCAUCAGAACCAGCGUUCUCAACACUGAAAGCAAAAUCAAGUAAACAAGGCUGUGUCGUGGACUUCCUUGACCCAGACUUUCAGGAAGGAGCUGACACACCGCCCAGACUCGCGCUCACCCACAUAGCUCCGAAGCCAAACAAACUCGUGUUUUCCCAGCUGUAUGAUGCACUCAGUUCACGGAGCAACUGGCCAGAAAACAAGGAAAAGAAAAAAAAAAAUGUGCCCAGUUCAGACCACUCAAGGAAAGUAGAAUUGCUUCAGCUGGCUUUUGUUUUUUAUUUUCAUGAAGUAUCAAGAAAUAUAAAGAUGGAGGAAGUUAGAUCUAUGGCUUUUAGUUACUAAAAAGGAAACAAAAUAUUUUUUCCUUUUAUAGAUCUGAUCUUGCUAUUACUCUGCUUAAAAACUUCAAUGACUUUAUAACUUUCAAUUUUGAUAGCCCUUACAGAUAUUUUAUGACUUGUUUAAAACAACAUUUCUAGCCACAUCAGCCCAAAUUUCCUCCCACUUAAAGCUGUUUUGAGCUUUGCCAGGCUUCUGUUAUAUUAAAUACUUCAUGUGCUUUCUUGCCCACAUGCUUUUGUUUAUGCUAUUCCUUCUGCUUAUAACACCUUUCCUUGCCUUGUUCAUUAAGGAAAUGCCAACUCAGAUUUUAAGACUCACCCUAAAGCAUAUGAAAG
ensembl:lncRNA